rnacentral:rRNA from 1 species
CCUACGGGUGGCAGCAGUGAGGAAUAUUGGUCAAUGGACGAGAGUCUGAACCAGCCAAGUAGCGUGAAGGAUGACUGCCCUAUGGGUUGUAAACUUCUUUUAUAUGGGAAUAAAAUGUUCCACGUGUGGGAUUUUGUAUGUACCAUAUGAAUAAGGAUCGGCUAACUCCGUGCCAGCAGCCGCGGUAAUACGGAGGAUCCGAGCGUUAUCCGGAUUUAUUGGGUUUAGAGGGAGCGUAGGUGGAUUGUUAAGUCAGUUGGGAAAGUUUGCGGCUCAACCUGAAAAUUGCAGUUGAAACUGGCAGUCUUGAGUACAGUAGAGGUGGGCGGAAUUCGUGGUGUAGCGGUGAAAUGCUUAGAUAUCACGAAGAACUCCGAUUGCGAAGGCAGCUCACUGGACUGCAACUGACACUGAGGCUCGAAAGUGUGGGUAUCAAACAGGAUUAGAUACCCCGGUAGUC